rnacentral:lncRNA from 1 species
AAAAGGUUCCCUUUUUUUGUGUUUUGUUUUGUGACAGAGACCUCAGAAUGCCAGGAAGCCUUUGCUGUUUUAUGAUAUAUUUGAUGGGGAGCUUAGAAAGCCUGAAAACGAGCAAUUUCCUGCCUCAGAGUUUUUUGUCAGAAGAACCUAUGAAUUUCCACAUCAGAUGGGGAAUUCUACUGAGAUGGAAACUUGUAUUAAAAAUAAAAAUGAAGAGGCAACAAGAAAAGAUAACAUAUUCAUGGGCAGCAAUAAGAUUGCUUGAAGACAUGACAUUAGAGGGUCAGAACACUUGUAUAAAGAUUGUCCAAAAAUAUUGUUUGAAAAGCUUCAAUGCUACUCUGUUUAGUGGUGAUCUCUCUGAAUGUCUGCGAGAGUACCAACUGUUCUGAAGCAAGAUUCACAAAAUUGUGGUUGGAUACAGUCAUCCUUAUGUAUCUGGGUUUUUCUCCUAUAGAACCUUAUAGUGACACAAAAACUUCCUUGAACAUAUGACCUUCCAAAAUGUAACACAAGGCUUAAAGCUAUGUUGCCAAUGACCUGAUAUGCUGAAAAUACUGCUCAAAGAAGCU